rfam:Actinophytocola xinjiangensis strain CGMCC 4.4663 contig16, whole genome shotgun sequence.
CUUCAACGACCCCAGCCACACCGGCCCAACCCGAUCCUGCCCAUACGUCGCCAACAACGCCUGCGCCUC